GUGUUGUAUGACAGGAGGGAAGGUUAACACUCCCCUUGACACGGAUGGAAAUGGCCCCUGUGGCCUGAAACCACAGACUGAAUAAAUAUGGACGACGCGUCUCCACUCCCUUGCACUGGCCGCAGUGACGCUAUUUU